GAUGAAGAACGUAGCGAAAUGCGAUAAGUAAUGUGAAUUGCAGAAUUCCGUGAAUCAUCGAAUCUUUGAACGCACAUUGCGCCCUGUGGUAUUCCGCAGGGCAUGCCUGUUCGAGCGUCAUUUCAACCCUCAAGCCCCGCUUGGUGUUGGGCCCCGCCCGCCGUGGCCGGCCCUAAAGACAGUGGCGGCGCCGCCUGGCCCUCAGCGUAGUACAGCUCUCGCUCCAGGGUCCGGCGGCCGCCUGCCAGAACCCCCCCAACUCUGUGGUUGACCUCGGAUCAGGUAGGGAUACCCGCUGAACUUAAGCAUAUCAAUAAGCGGAGGA
rnacentral:misc_RNA from 1 species